rnacentral:lncRNA from 13 species
GUUUUUACUCCAAACAACAGCCGUUGAAUUGUUAUCAAAGACGUGUGAAGCUUGUAAGGGGAAAAAUGUCAACAUUUAUUUAACUCUGUUUGUUUCUAGUACAAGUAGCUAUGCAUCUAAUAAAACAAGAUGCCAUGAGAAUAUUUGUACAAUCACCACCAGUUGAUAUAUGUUUGAAAUUAGUCAAGAUGACCCCAACAAACCGGUAUCACAUGCAGGUCACAGUAGUUACAAUGUGCCGGUUCUAACUGGCUAGUAAAAGCACAGUCGUAUGUAUACAGAACAAUAUUUAUUUGAGGGACUACAUCAACACACUCAGCCCUCCCUCCUAACUAGAUUCAAAACAGGAAGUCCAAUCAGACAGCCAGCAGAGCACAUCCUGUCCAUCCUCAGUACCAGUCAGCAUGCCUUCCCUCUAAACCCUGUUUACAGAAGGGAAUGCAGUGAGGCCAUGGCUUUGAUUCAAUUUAGCAGACUCACCAGAGCCAUGGUCUGCAUGGAGGAAGAAGGGCCCGGCAAGCAGGCGUCUUUGAACAGCAGCCAAGGAGGAAAAAGGGAAGAGAGCUUCUCAGGAUCACUGGCUGUAUGCAAUGCCAACUGUCUUGAAUAUCUCUGACCUGACAGCACUUGAUUAGAAAACUGCAAUAUGGUGUAAACUUAUCCAGGGUUGUAAUUCAUCAGACGUCUGAAAUUAGAGGAAGCUAGAUAAAGUCCCGUUCUGAAUAGGAAAGAGUGGUGCUUACCUUGACCUGGGAGAGGGAGAGAUGGACAGAUGAGGAGAGUCACAGGGAUGGAGCGUAGAGGGUCCAGGCAGGGAAGGGGUCUGGGUAGGUCCCAAUGGGGUAGUCCAGGAGAGGGAACGAGAGAGGAGUAGAGAGGAGAGGAAGGACAGGGAACAAGGAGACAGGGAGGUGAAACAUAAACACUACUCUCUCCCUUUCUCUCUCUCACACACACACCCAAACACACACUUACACAGCCUACAGACAGGAACUAACACAAGCAGUUACUCCCAGGAUGGGAGAGAGAGUGUCUUACCCAUCCACAGACACUCAAACACAGAGAACAAGAGUAAGACCCAGCCCAAUCUCUCCUACUGGCCCAAUGAGAGGCAGCUGUAAAACUGCACGACCAAUGAGAGACGUUGAAGGCAGGGCCAAUAGGUGCAAUGACUCAUCCAGCCAAUCAGAGAAAUUGCCUUUGGACUCUUAGAACCUCCCUCUCUCUUAAUGACAGAUUUAGGAAGGUGCACUUAGCCUGUGUGAGUGAUUUAAGACCCUGACCUGGGACACAUUAGAGUGAUUAGAUUUGGAUUCACCUAGACCAGUGUGAUAACACAAUAGGCAGCAUUCUUCCCUACAACACUAGCUGAGAUCCAGGUGCUGUACUGCAUGCUACAGUCAUUCUCAUGUACGGCUACCCUCUUAAAGGAGGUUACGCAUGACAUGUUGCAUUAUUUCUGAAAACAGAACACACGCAGUCGUGCACACACAGACACACACACAGGAAUGCACGUGCAUACACACGUACAGAGUUGAUUGUUAAAGAGGGAGGAGAGGUGAAACCUCUGAUUCAGCAGUAUUUCAGCCCUCUAAUAAAACACAGCUGACAGGCUGUGCUGUAGAGGAUGUACCUCCUCUAUACUGGACAGGAGAUGGCUAUAAAAGAUUCAUAGAAAAUGGGAGGGGAAAGAUGGGCACAGAGGGGAAAUAUAGGCAGGGUUUACCAGCUGCGAUGAAAUGAGUAUUGGUCGCUGUGAAUAAUAUACAGGAUAUUGCCACAGUCAAACCAAGGUAACAGGAAAAUGUUGUGGAAAUGAUGUCCUAAAGACUUAUUUCCCUCUCUGUCCGAUUCCUUAUAACCACUGAUCUGAAAGAGAUGGAUAGUUCCUAGUUGAAAGCACAGAAUACAUUCAUGGAUGAAAGUGAUACAGCAGAAUGGCCGCCACCGUAUGCAUGCAUGCUAUCCUUUCCCAUUAGGGUCUGGUUCUCAAAGGAGGUGACACAGAAGGAAGUGCUUCAUCUGGGAAACAGCACUAGAUGCAGACGGGUCUUGGUUAGAAAAGGAAAGGUUGGAUGGAUCCAGAAUUUGCAGUGAGGCCUUCCUCACAGCUAUGGCUGUGAUGUCCAUGAAAUCAAGGCACACUGUUGGACUGCCUUGGGAUAACUGCAUGACAACCAAAUCCCCAGAUAUGUGUUUAUGGGUUCUGUUGAGGGCACAGAAUAUAUCUCAUGACUGGCUAAAUCACAUAACAUUUAAAGUGCUGUGACAAUGGACUGAUUCUCUCCAUGUAGCC